AUUGAACGCUGGCGGCAGGCCUAACACAUGCAAGUCGAGCGAGCGGCGGACGGGUGAGUAAUGUCUGGGGAACUGCCUGAUCGAGGGGGAUAACUACUGUAAACAGUAUCUAAUACCGCAUACCAUCAGAUGUGCCCAGAUGGGGUUAUCUAGUAGGGGUGGUAACGGUUCACCCAGGCGACGAUCCCUAGCGGGUCUGUGAGGAUGACCAGCGAAACUGGAACUGAGACACGGCCCAGAGUCCUACGGGAGGCAGCAGUGGGGAAUAUUGCACAAUGGGCGCAAGCCUGAUGCAGCCAUGCCGCGUGUGUGAAGAAGGCCUUCGGGUUGUAAAGCACUUUCAGCGGGGAGGCGUUACCCGCAGAAGAAGCACCGGCUAACUCCGUGCCAGCAGCCGCGGUAAUUC
rnacentral:rRNA from 1 species